UUAUAUACGAGUUAUUUUGCCUCAAUUAUAACAUGUGUGCUUCUUGGGCUCUCAGGAUUCUCAUCAGAAUCCUUUCUGGUUUCUAAUAAGAAUUCUCAGAUAUUUCCCAUUUCUAAUAGGAAUUCUCAGAGAUUUCUCAUCAGAGUUCUCUCUGCAAUUUCAUAAGAAACUUCCCAGUAUUCUCAUCAGAAUCUUUCCAAAUUCAGGAUCUUAGCAGGAUUAUUAUCAGAAUCGUUUCCAGAUUUUCAAUAGAAUUCUGCCAGGGUUAUCAUUUGAAUCCUUUUACAAAUUAUCAUCGGAAUCCUUCCAGAACUCUUCUCAGAACCUAUCCAGGAUUCUCAUCAAGAUCCUUCCAAAACUCUCAGAAAUCAGGAUUUUCAUUAUAAUCGUAUCGGGAUUCCAGGAAUUUCAUCGGAAAUUUUGCAGGGAUCUCAUCGGAAACUAGGAUUUUCAUGACUCUUGAGAAAAUCGUUGAAGAAUUAUCAUCAGAUUCUUUCUAGGAUUAUCGUUGAAUACCUUUCAGUAUGAUACAAUAAACCUUCCAGUAGUUUCAACAGAAACCUGCCUGGUUUCUAAUCAGGUAUCUUGCCAAGAAUUCUCAUUAGAAUCUUCCCGGUAUUAUCAACAGUAUCCUUUCAAAUUUAGAAUCUUUGCAGGAUUAUGGUCAGAAUCAGAAUCAAAAUUCUUAGUCUCUCGAGAAUCUUUCUCAGAGCUCUUUCAGGAUUCACAUUUGCAUUUUUCCACAAUUUCCUUUAAGAUCCUUCCAAGAGUCUCUACACAAUCCUUCCAGAAUUCUCAACAGAAAUCAGGAUUUUCCGUCAAAGAGUACUUUGAAUCUCAAGAGCAUUUUUUGGCAAAUUAAGUGAAACCAUCUAUUAAGAAGUAUAUGAUGUUGAGAAUACCUGGUGAAUUCUCUAGAGAAAUUAGUACACUAUAUUCUGAAUUUUUGUCUUACCUCUUGAUAGCCUAUGUGUUCCAGAGUAAGCCCUAAGUUAAUUGCAAUGGUAUCCUAGGAAAACACAUGAGAAAAUUAUUUCACGAAUCCGUAGAUGAAAUCCUGCAGACAUUUCUGAAGUAGCAAUCCUUCUAGUAAAU